rnacentral:rRNA from 1 species
AGCGGAGGAAAAGAAACUAACAAGGAUUCCCCUAGUAACGGCGAGUGAAGCGGGAUGAGCUCAAAUUUGUAAUCUGGUGGACUCAGUUCAUCCGAGUUGUAAUCUAUAGAAAAGUUUUCCGCGCCGGACCGUGUCUAAGUCCCUUGGAACAGGGUGUCAGAGAGGGUGAGAAUCCCGUGCUUGAUACGACCACCGGUGCUAUGUGAUACUUUUUCAACGAGUCGAGUUGUUUGGGAAUGCAGCUCAAAAUGGGUGGUAAAUUCCAUCUAAAGCUAAAUAUUGGCGAGAGACCGAUAGCGAACAAGUACCGUGAGGGAAAGAUGAAAAGCACUUUGGAAAGAGAGUUAAACAGUACGUGAAAUUGUUAAAAGGGAAACGAUUGAAGUCAGUCGUGCUCUCUGGGACUCAGCCGGUUCUUCCGGUGUAUUUCCCAGUGAGCGGGUCAACAUCAGUUUAGAUCGCUGGAUAAGGUCAUUAGGAAUGUGGCUCCCUCGGGAGUGUUAUAGCCUAGUGUCGCAUACAGUGGUUUAGACUGAGGAACGCAGCUCGCCUUUAUGGCCGGGGUUCGCCCACGUCCGAGCUUAGGAUGUUGACAUAAUGGCUUUAAACGACCCGU